rnacentral:sRNA from 1 species
UAAAUUCUAGCUUUUUUUUCCUUGCCUUUUGGGAACAGAAUUUCUGCUAGGGUAGCUUUGAACACCCAGGCCUCCUGCUUUAGCCUACUGAGUGCUCAGAUUAUGGGUGAACGCCACCACACCGUAGUCCAUGCUGGUUAUAUAGACCAGAGGUGCUGAACUUCCAGCUAGGAGGUAGCUCAGACAGUGCUUCUGAUGUAGGACCUGAAUCAGAGUCAACUCAAUUUUGAAAGACUCAUAUUUCAGGAUGGAGUUUUCUUCUGUAAGAAUUAAUUUUGAUUGGUGGGGAGCAGGAUGGUGGAAAGAAGUUGGAAAUGACAUAGAGCAUUUUGCCUUAGCAUGUAGACAUGAGACUGAAACAUACCCAUUAGGGAGGAACACGUCAGAACUGACAUCGAGGUAAUGGUUUGGGAGUACAGAGUCUGGUCUCGUUUGACUCUAAUCUACAUGCUUGCAUGACUGAAACUGAAACUAUACAAAAUUAGAAAAGAAAAAGCUUUACUUUCAUUCCCUGUAGACGGGGCAGAAUUAGCCAUUCACACCAAUGGUUGCCAUGGGUAGAUGGAGACCAUUCUCUAUAAGAGAACCAAGGAAUUUAAAGAAAGUGGGUGCUAUUUAGGUUGAAGUACAAGUCCACAGCCUGUUCCAGUCUGGUCCUGCAACGAGGGAGCCAAGAAGAUCACUUCUCUCUUCCUGGUACGUGUGAUAGAUUUUAACUACAUUAUGACUUUGAAUAACAAAUAAAUAUCUAACAAUAUCCCCAGAAACUUGUUUUGAAUAUUUGAAAAUUCCAGAAUCAGCACAUUAAAAACGAGUACCUACUUGUCUGGGGUAUGCAAUGUGCCGGGUCAGAGAAGAAACAAAAUAGUUUUAAGCUGUCUUCAACUUAUUUGUGAACUAAAAGGAGAAGCCCCAUCCUUAUGAUCAUGCUUGUUUUUCUUCCUAUGUCCCGGAAUGUUUGUCUCUAACCAAAUACGACUGACUAGGUUUGUCCAGAGGCCAUCAAAGGGUUAGAGGUAAGAAGGAAGUGUGGAAAGUUGACAAGGAAUCACCAAAAGAAGACCCAAAAGAGAAAGUCCCAUUAAGCUUGAUGACAAACACAGUCUAAAGCCAUAUCCAUGAGUGCCAGGUUUUUCAAACUGAAGUAACCAACGACAUCAAAACUGUGGACAAAGCUUCUUUGUGAAGAGGUGAAGAAGAUUUGGUGUUCGUUAAGAAGCAAACGAGCAGGGGUUGGGGAUUUAGCUCAGUGGUAGAGCACUUGCCUAGCAAGCUCAAGGCCCUGGGUUUGGUCCCCAGCUCCGAAAAAAAGAAAAAAAAAAAAGAAAAAAAGAAAAAAAGAAGAAGCAAAUGAGCUAACCUGUUCUCUGUGCUCCAAAAGGACAACACAGCUCUAUUUUGGCGAGUUAGAUCUAGUUUCCUUUGAAGAGCUCUGGGUGAGCAUUUGCUGCAUACCACGUGACUGGACGCUAUUGACUUAGUGGGAUACCUUGAGAUGAAAAAUCACAACAGAAAUGCUUCUUGAUUAAUGAAAUAUUCUCAUUCAAAUCCAAGAUCUCGGUUAUCUCAGUCUUGGCUAGAGAAGCAGUCAACACAGAGGCUCAUAACUGGGCUAUGUGCCGUGGAACAGCUUCUUGUUCAGACACUUUCUAAGGGCAAAAAAGGGCAAGUAGAAAACGACGGUGGAAAAAGCAUUUGGAGCAGGUUAGUCAUAGAGGAGAAAGUGUAAGUACAGUACUAUUUGCUAAGACCACAAUAGGAAGUGUGAUUGUGGUGUCCAUGCGUCCUUGUAUUGUAGAAGGAGAGGGCAGUGUUAAGUGACUGAAGCCUUCCUUUGAUACUUGUUGAUCCUUUCUAUAAGGAGGGAUGCCUCUUACACAGGCAGGGCUUAGCAGGUCGCCUGUCAGGACAAGCCCAGAGGUGGCAUUACUUGCUGUUUGCUGAUCAAUGAGUCUUUGGAGCUCUAAGAACUCAGGCUCAAGGAGUGACUCUGGGAAGAUGAGUUGUGUGGCUCUGCCCUGGAUUCCACAGUCUAGCACAGGACGGUGAUUUAGUGCCUCGUGACUCAAAAUCCCCAAAGCUUGCUUACUUUUCCUCAGCCUGCAGUGCCCAGAAUGGAGCUGUUGGCAAAUCGCAGUCCACACCCCCACUUUUCAAUCUUUUCGCUAAUUUCUUACUACUUCACUUGAGAGAGUCCCAGAAGAACGGUGUGAUGAUUCAUCAGCCCUACUUCCUCAUUUCUGCUGACAGAGAGCUAACUUUGUCUCCAUUUCCAUGGUCGUCCCAAAAGAGCAAAAACAAAACAACUUUAAAAAAAUUUUAAUUUGCUACGUUUGGUGCGAAGUGACUUCCUGUGAGCUGGAGAGGCCAAAGGCUGGAGAGACCCCACUGUAGCCCAUUCUAUGACUGAGAGAUCCGAGACCCCAAGAGCCUACAAGAUUUCCUGUUUCUACACAACCGCUCAGUAGCAUACAGAUUUGGGCAGGGAUCUGCUAGUUUUAGGCUGUGAUUUUCUGUAACUUUGUGGAUGAUAAAUAGAUCGAAGCUUAUCUGUGCUAUGUCACAAGGAAACACAUAACCAUAAAACUUUCUGGCCAGAGUGCUUUCUCCUGCUCUGCAAGGCUCAGCGCUGAAUUUCCUGUGACAUUUGCAUCUGAGUUGUCUCAUUUCCCUGAAGCCCUGUCACAAGCCCUGAGGUUGCUACAGAGAAAGAUCUGAAACCCCCGCCAGGGAAGUCCCAUGGAGAAGUAUUGCCUUCCUUUCUGGAGUUUACAGCUCUCUUCCAGAUAGCUGACCCUCUCAGCUGUGGCUCCCAGGCCACUGAUAGGGCAAAGGGUGGUGGUGGCCAGGGACUGUCCCCCAGGUCUGCUUCUGGCCCUGGCUCCUUCCAGCAUCCCCUUCAGAUGACUUUGUCUGACUUUCCCCGAUUUUGUGCUUUGCUUUUCACCCUCCUCCCCCACCAGUGGAAAUUUAGAGGGUUCUGUGGUUCUUACAGGACUCUGGGGCUGUACAUUUAAUGUGCUCACUUCCUCUAUAGAUCCCAGGGGAUUCCUAAAGCAGAUUGCUUGCCCAGCACCCCAGCACGCUCCCUCACCCAGGAUGGAGUUGCCACAUAGGCGGACUCUUCAAAGUCUCAGCUACAAAAAUAUGUGUGUGUGUCUGUGUGUGUGUAUGUGUGUGUGUGUGUGUGUGUGUGUGUGUGUACAUCCAUUCAUUUUUGCAGCAUUUUUUUGUAAUUUAAAUUUACAUUUUCUAUAAUUUAAAUGCCAUGUGUCUAUCACAAUAAAAUAGUCAAUUUAAUUAAGUGUUUAUUUAUUUAAUUAUAGUAUGUAUGUCUGCAUUUCUGUGCUUAUAUAAGUGCUUGUGUGGAUGUGUCUCUGAGUAUAUUGUUCGUGUGUUUGCACAUAUGUGGUAGGUGUAUGUCUGUGUGUGUGC